rnacentral:rRNA from 1 species
CGAGUGGCGGACGGGUGAGGAAUACAUCGGAAUCUACUCUGUCGUGGGGGAUAACGUAGGGAAACUUACGCUAAUACCGCAUACGACCUACGGGUGAAAGCAGGGGAUCUUCGGACCUUGCGCGAUUGAAUGAGCCGAUGUCGGAUUAGCUAGUUGGCGGGGUAAAGGCCCACCAAGGCGACGAUCCGUAGCUGGUCUGAGAGGAUGAUCAGUCACACUGGAACUGAGACACGGUCCAGACUCCUACGGGAGGCAGCAGGG